rnacentral:rRNA from 1 species
UACAGAGACUGCGAGCGUUACUCGGAUUCACUGGGCGUAAAGGGUGCGUAGGUGGCCAAAUGUGUCAGGUGUGAAAUCUUGGGGCUCAACCCCAAAACUGCGCCUGAAACUGUUUGGCUAGAGUUUCGGAGGGGUAAGCGGAAUUCCUGGAGUAGCAGUGAAAUGCAUAGAUAUCAGGAGGAACACCAAUGGCGAAGGCAGCUUACUGGACGAAUACUGACACUGAAGCACGAAAGCGUGGGGAGCAAAAAGG